rnacentral:lncRNA from 1 species
GCUUGUUGAUAAUAAAAUUAUAGGCACAUCAAACCAUGAUAAUUAGCCACUUAUUAAGCCAUCCCGGGGGGUAAGAAUGAUGAGAGCGAUGAGUUGAUUAAACCAUAAUCACCCACUUAAUCAGCAAACAUUUGAAAACUUAGAAAUGCAUUAACUUGCCCACAUGACUCCCAAGCAAAGGCAAAAUAUUGUGAGCCAAGAAGGAUUCCCACAAACAAUAGAAUAUUAAUAUGUUAGUAACUUCAAAAGGAAUUUCUUAAAGGAGGUGAGGUAGGUAAAUGAAAGUGCAUUAACACUGGAAUUAGAUGAGAGGUUCCAAGCAGUCGUGUCAAUGAAACAGUGCUCAGAGAGAGAGAGGCUAGCUUCAUGUACCUGAUGCAUUAGAAAUGACCAUGACCUUUACCAUGGAGCCACAGCUCAUGAAGCCUGUAAGGCUCUUCUUAUACCUCACCAUAGAAUAUAUAGAUCAUCAAGGCACUCUGCCUCUUUCUUGAAAGCAUGCAUUUAGGCUUGCAUCACUAUCAUCACAUUAUAGAUCAGAAAAGCUAAAGUUCAUGGCAACUGGUUAUGAUCAUGUUAAGGCUGCAGGGUCCUUCUAUUAAUAUAUAUCGAGGCAAGUAAACAGAUAACAGCAUUACCAACCUGAGAUGGGCAAUGAAGGAUUCUGAGACUCUUUAUCCAGACAAGUGUGACAAAGAACAGUGCCUGUAACCAGCACCGUUGAGAGCUUCUCCUCUCCAUAUCCAGCUACUUGCACCAUGUCCUCUCGGCUCCACAGCUCUGGCAGCAAGCUCUCUCUUCCAGCAGCCCCCGACGUCCCGAAGAAGAACACCAAGAAUACUAGCAUGAUCACAAGAUUAUUGUACUUGCACACACAAAAGUAGCUCAUCUUCUCUGUGUUUCUGUCUCCAGAACUUUGUAUUUCCUGCAAUGAAAUUAAUCAACACAGAAAGGAAUCCCACGCCCUUGUUUAUAUAAGACAGUUUAUUUUCCACAUGCCCUUCUCAACCCUUCAAAUUACAACCACAAAAGUUGUAAUUUGGCAUUGGGUUGAACGAGGG